GACAGAGGGUGCAAACGUUGUUCGGAAUUACUGGGCGUAAAGCGCAUGUAGGCUGCUUGGAAAGUCGGAUGUGAAAGCCCUGGGCUCAACCUAGGAAGUGCAUUCGAAACUUCUGAGCUGGAGUGCUGGAGAGGAAGGCGGAAUUCUCGGUGUAGAGGUGAAAUUCGUAGAUAUCGAGAGGAACACCGGUGGCGAAGGCGGCCUUCUGGACAGUGACUGACGCUGAGACGCGAAAGCGUGGGGAGCAAACAGG
rnacentral:rRNA from 1 species